AUUGAACGCUGGCGGCAUGCUUUACACAUGCAAGUCGAACGCGAAAGCGGGGGCAACCCUGCCGGUAGAGUGGCGAACGGGUGAGUAACACAUCGGAACGUAUCCUCGCGUGGGGGACGAACCAGUCGAAAGACGGGCUAAUACCGCAUACGCUGGAGACGGGAAAGCAGGGACCCGCAAGGCCUUGUGCGCAUGGAGCGGCCGAUGUCUGAUUAGCUAGUUGGUGGGGUAAAGGCUCACCAAGGCGACGAUCAGUAGCUGGUCUGAGAGGAUGAUCAGCCACACUGGGACUGAGACACGGCCCAGACUCCUACGGGAGGCAGCAGUGGGGAA
rnacentral:rRNA from 1 species